AGGAGCUAUAGUUAGUUUCGGAUCUCAUUAACAUUCCGAACAAAAAGUGGAAGACGGAUUUGAUUUACAAUACCUUUUCAGCAGAAAUUACGAAGAAAAUUUCACAGAUCCCACUUACAGAGACGGACCAUGAAGAUAUUCAAGUCUGGAAAGGAGAACCGUUCGGGGAAUUUUUAGUUCACAGCGCCUAUAAACUAUUACAAGGGGCUAAUCCGGAUCCUAGUAAUUUCUUAAUACAAACCGAAAUUACAGAUUUCUACAAAAAAUUAUAGGGUUUACAACUUCCUUCAAAAAUCACUAUAAUUAUUUGGCGAAUCUCUUGGGAUUUCAUCCAUCAUCUAGCUAAUCUCAGAUAUAGAAGAGUUUCUGCAAGUGACAGAUGUCCUCGUUGCCGUUAUUGAGUUGAAGAUAGUCCUCAUAUUUUUCGUCAAUGCCCUGUAUCAACAGAAGUGUGGCAUUUUUUACAUCUAUCUUGGGUUAUAAACAAUAUGAAUCAAACUAUAUGGGAGUGGCUUACCUGGGUUUUCAAGAGAGGAACUGCGGAACAAUGUCGCCUUUUCUGUAUUACUUUAUGGCUAAUCUGGUUUUCCAGAAAUCAGCUCAUUCACGAGAGGAAGGAAACAUGUAGAGAACUUGCUCAUCAAAUAUAGGGGUAUAUGGCAGAAAAUGAAGGGGUAAGAGAAACUCCAAAUCCUUUUAAUACAAACAAGAAUCACAAAGGUCAGGAGGACAUACCGAGAAUAACGAUCCAGUUUGAUGCAGCGUUCGACAUUCGAAACUUCAAAUUAGCAACAUGCUUGGUGGUUUAGGGCCUGACGGGCGAGCUCCUGGUCUUAAAAUCGACCCUUCACAAUAAUGUUUCUUCCCCGUUCGCAGCAGAAGCGUUUGCAUGUUUGGAAGGCAUAAAGUUAGGGAUAUCAAUGGGUAUACAAUCGGUUAAAAUCAUGGGGGAUUCUAGAACAAUAAUUAAAAAAUGUCAAACAUCUUCAAUAGAUAAAUCAGAGAUUCGAGCGAUCAUAAAAGACAUUCAGAACAAGAAAUUUUAUUUUCAAGAGAUUACCUUUCAGCAUAUUCAUAGAUCAGGGAACUCGCAAGCACACAGAUUCGCAAAGAAUACUCUAGAUAGAGGAGAGAUCUCUUACCUAGUGGGAGAGGAGUUGAAUCGGCAUCCUUCCGACUUGGAGGGAAGAUGGUCAAGAAGACCAGAUAGAAGAAGGAGAUGAGGAAUCUGAUUUCAAAAGUGAUAGCAAAUAAAAGCUUUAUUCUUGAUAAUAGCUAUUGUCAGAACGGAUGGGUGCUUUGAAAUGACAAAUCAAUGAAUGGUAAUGGAGGCCAGCCGUUUGAAUGGACUGGGUAGAUAUUUAGUUUCCUGUUUUCCGUCAGAAUCAUUUAAUGCUUUUUGUUUCCUUUAAGUUAUGUUUAUUUU
rnacentral:lncRNA from 1 species